rnacentral:rRNA from 1 species
UACGUAGGGGGCUAGCGUUGUCCGGAAUCAUUGGGCGUAAAGCGCGUGUAGGCGGUCCGGUAAGUCCGCUGUGAAAGUCGGGGGCUCAACCCUCGAAUGCCGGUGGAUACUGUCGGGCUAGAGUGCGGAAGAGGCGAGUGGAAUCCUGGUGUAGCGGUGAAAUGCGUAGAUAUCGGGAGGAACACCAGUGGCGAAGGCGGCUUCCUGGCCUGUUCUUGACGCUGAGGCGGCGAAAGCUAGGGGAGCAAACGGGG